GAUGAACGCUGGCGGCGUGCCUAAUACAUGCAAGUCGAGCGAACAGACGAGGAGCUUGCUCCUCUGACGUUAGCGGCGGACGGGUGAGUAACACGUGGAUAACCUACCUAUAAGACUGGGAUAACUUCGGGAAAACGGAGCUAAUACCGGAUAAUAUAUUGAACCGCAUGGUUCAAUAGUGAGAGACGGUUUUGCUGUCACUUAUAGAUGGAUCCGCGCCGCAUUAGCUAGUUGGUAAGGUAACGGCUUACCAAGGCAACGAUGCGUAGCCGACCUGAGAGGGUGAUCGGCCACACUGGAACUGAGACACGGUCCAGACUCCUACGGGAGGCAGCAGUAGGGAAUCUUCCGCAAUGGGCGAAAGCCUGACGGAGCAACGCCGCGUGAGUGAUGAAGGUCUUCGGAUCGUAAAACUCUGUUAUUAGGGAAGAACAAAUGUGUAAGUAACUAUGCACGUCUUGACGGUACCUAAUCAGAAAGCCACGGCUAACUACGUG
rnacentral:rRNA from 1 species